AUGUUUCCGCCGAAACCACAAUCGGACCCGGAUUCACAAACAUCCAAGUCGCACGAUGGCACCAACCUCCACGCACAGCCGCGGCCUCAACCGUCGGUGAGUCUCCUGCCCAGACGCUCUCGACUCCGUCUGCAGCACCCUGCAUCUGACAUUUCGCUAUGGUUUGAAAAGAGAGAAGGAAGGGUUUAUCAUGGAGAGAGAAAUUUAGUUUAA